GUUGAAACUCCUUAUCCCGUACGAUCACCGAAGUUAAGCAAUGACGAGCCUGGUUAGUACCUAGAUAGGUGAGCACCUGGAAAUACCAGGCGCUGUCA